AAAAUUGGCAGUGAAAUUAGUAAGGAUGAAGACUGUUAUAAUAGCAAUUCUGCUUUCUUCUAUUAUCAAUGAGAGUUACGCCCAAGUCGCCGGUGCUGUACUUGGACUCGUGAAUAACACGGUACAAGGUGCGGGGGACGUCGUCGAUGCAGCAAUUCCUCCAGGAACUAUUCCCGGUGUUAAUGCUGGUGACACUGUUCGAUCUCUUGGACAAAUUCCCGGAACAGCGCCUUAGUAUAAACUGAAGUGGUCCAUGUGUUUUUAAGAAAGUCUAUCGUCUUACUUUACUUAUAAAUAAAC